AGUCGAACGGAAGUCGUUAUAAAAAGGAUUGAAGAUUUAUCUGAUUGAGAUUUUAUAACAAUGGCUUUAGUGGCGGACUGGUGAGUAACGCGUGAGCAACCUGCCUACUAGAGGGGAAUAACAGUGAGAAAUCAUUGCUAAUACCGCAUAUGUCAUGAACAUCACAUGAUGAAAGUGGGAAAAGAGUAAUCUGCUAGUAGAUGGGCUCGCGUCUGAUUAGAUAGUUGGUGGGGUAACGGCCUACCAAGUCAACGAUCAGUAGCCGGACUGAGAGGUUGAACGGCCACAUUGGGACUGAGAUACGGCCCAGACUCCUACGGGAGGCAGCAGUCGGGAAUAUUGCGCAAUGGAGGAAACUCUGACGCAGUGACGCCGCGUAUAGGAAGAAGGUUUUCGGAUUGUAAACUAUUGUCGUUAGGGAAGAUAUAAGACAGUACCUAAGGAGGAAGCUCCGGCUAACUACGUGCCAGCAGCCGCGGUAAUACGUAGGGAGCAAGCGUUAUCCGGAUUUACUGGGUGUAAAGGGAGCGCAGGCGGUGCGGCAAGUCUGAUGUGAAAGCCCGGGGCUCAACCCCGGUACUGCAUUGGAAACUGUCGUACUAGAGUGUCGGAGGGGUAAGCGGAAUUCCUAGUGUAGCGGUGAAAUGCGUAGAUAUUAGGAGGAACACCAGUGGCGAAGGCGGCUUACUGGACGAUAACUGACGCUGAGGCUCGAAAGCGUGGGGAGCAAACAGGAUUAGAUACCCUGGUAGU
rnacentral:rRNA from 1 species